rnacentral:ncRNA from 2 species
AUUUAUAUAUUGCUCCGAGCCGGGAAAGCCUAAGACUUGAUGUUAUGGUACCCCGGCCGAUAGGGUAGGUCUGGAAACGGGUCUGCCUCCCAUGUGGAAAGGAGAACCAAUCUAUGUUGA